GUGCAUAUUUCAGUGUCCUGCUUUCCUUUGUAACAUGUGAACUGUGUUCUUUCUUAUAUGCUACACAAAUAAUUGAAUGUAUUGCUAAAUUGUAAGACUUAAGACAAGU
rnacentral:snoRNA from 1 species